UCAAAUUAUAAGCAAUGAUAAAUCAUCAAAACCAAUCACUUUCUCUAAACAAAUUCAGAAAAUAUUGAUGGUAUGAUGUAGAAAAAAAUUUAGGUUUGACCAAAUACCAUCACCCAUCCAUCCAAAGCAUCUAUUUCCAAGAUUUGACUCUUUUCAUACCCUUGGAUGCUUGACAUUUCUGCAAAAAUUAUUUACUAAACUUUGAUACCCAAGUCAACUUGGGUCCACGGG
rnacentral:lncRNA from 1 species